UGGCAAUUAGUUUAAAUAAAAUAAGUGAUUUCGACUCACUAGACUAUGAGAUAUCAUAAUUGCCAA
rnacentral:tRNA from 1 species